UUAGCCUAGCGGCACGUCGUCUUUUGGACACUACUCCGCCCUCUGCGCCAACGAUACCUGUUAUACCCAGUCUGCCAAAACCAACGUUGCCACCUUUGCCUUCAUCACUCCCAACUCUGCCGACUUUGCCUUCACUCCCAACUCUAUCCAACCCUUCAAUUCCUCCUUUGCCGUCUCUUCCAACUAUGCCACAGCCCACAUUGCCAUCCUUGCCGAAGGCCACACUGCCUCCACUUCCUAGCAUGCCCACCAUGCCCACCAUUCCCUCUAUCCCGAAUCUCACGUUGCCUCCACUGCCAACAACUUUGCCAACCAUCCCCACGAUUCCCACAAUCCCAACUACUAUGCCUUCGAUCCCAUUUCUCUCCCCCCCACCGGCGACCACUAGUCCUUGAGAAUAUUCAUGUACUCUCCUAAGAAGACACAGUGCCACUACAGUUGGCUAUCUCUGAAGGUCUCUAUUUUUAGUGCUCGUUCGGGGAGCUAUUUUGAGGCUUUUCAACCUUUUCAUAUCAUUUGAAUUUAUGUAUCUGAGCAUUGUUAGUUCCUUCUUUUGUUUCUGCGUUUAUAUGUAUGAUUUGGGGUUUUCAUACCACAGUGGAUUAUUAUUUUUAUGGUCUUCCUUCUUUCACUGUGUUUUAAGACCUAAAAUCUGGAAUAAGCCUCGUUUGACAGCUGAGAAAUUUGUAUUACGAGUUCAGAAAAAUAAUAAUAAGAAAUUCUUAUGGCCUUCCUUUUAAAAUAAAGAAUUGCAAAAACUACUCAAAGAAAAGUCAAUAAAUUAAAAUUUAGGCAAAUAAGUCCUUAAAUAUAAAAUUUUGAAGACACCAAAUCCAAAACAAUUCAUUAAUGUUUUCAAGACCUCUAGCGUCCUAACAAUCAGCCAACCGAUCAAGGCCAAAACUGGCCCAAACUGGACAGCCACUAAAAGCCCAAACCAGUUGGGCUUAAGAGGGUUUAAACGAGCACCAAAGUCCAACCCAAUGUGAAGGUAUUUGUACCUGCAUUUAGUUAGUGGUUCUCUUCGGAUAUGGGAUUUGUUUCCAGGUGGUAAGGAAAAGGCUGUACAUAUGUUGCAGGAGAAUUUGAACUACUAACCUCCAACUUUAAAAGCAAGGGUGAGGCCAUUGAGCUAUACAUUCAUGUGUAAUAGUGCUGUAAAACUAAAUAUAUAGCAAGAUUAAUAUUUUUUUUUAUAAAUAAAAUUCAUGUAGAUAUUUAUAUUCAUGUUUAUUUUUAUAAUAAUAAUUAUGAAAAUAAUAUAAAUAAUUAAUACAAUAAAUUUAAAAUAAUAAAAUAUAAAAAUAAGGAGAUAAAUUAAAUACCAUGAUUUUAUAUUCAUCUUAAACGUAUCUUUAUAUUUAAAUGUUAUACAUGUUCUAUUUAAUAAAGCUUAAAUUAUUAAUAUAUUUAUAUUUAUUUUAACUUGACAUAUUUAAUAUAAAAUUGAAAUAUUAUUAAAAUUUUUAAUUAUAUAUUUUUAAUUUCUUAUAAUUAUUGUUUUAUUUCAUAUAAUAUAUAAAUUAUAUAAUUAUUACAUCAUCAGGUGGACCACAAUCAACCCAAUGAAUUAUGAAUUGAAAAUUUUUUUUAUUUAAUAAUUAGUCUGAUUUUAAAAACAUUGUUAUUUUAUACCAAUUGUGGCACUACCUCCUCAAUUUACGCCCAUACUCUUCCGUAGGGAUGUGUGGACCAUUUGCUUCUUGCAAGUUGCAACCAAACACAAGGAUAAUGACUCGAACUAGCAAUGAGAUAUAAUGGAUUCAAAAGAUACGAUAGAUGCAUAAUUUACUCCCAAACCAAAAAGUUGAUAUAUAUAGAAUUGACUUAAAGGACAUUUAACCUCAAUAAUGCUUAAAAUACCUUGUACACAAAUUUUUAUUGAAGAAACAUGUUGAUUAAAUUUCAAUUUAAUUAAUUUGAUUGAUGAGAUAUAAUCUCUAGAAUCCUCUCAUUUUUCUUUUGUAAUUGAUUAUAGAGAACAAAUUUAAAUUGGGCUUUUUGGUGCAUUUUGGUUCUACGCUUAGAUUUUGGCUUGACUUAGGCCUAAUUGGGGUUUGGCUUUGCUUAGACUUGAUUGGACUUCAGUUUGAAUGACACUCACUCGGGACGCAAACACUUAACCUCCAAUUAAAGAUAUCUUGAACUUAAAAUCUAAAUAUUAAAACUCAAUCUUCGAAUAUUUGAACUUGGUAUUCAAAUCUUGGAAGACUUGAUCUUUGAGUUUUUAAAGGCUUAAUCUUUGAAUCAUUGAACUUCUUCUUUGAAUCUUUAACCUUAGUUUUUGAAUAUUCAAAGGCUUUGAAACAUUUCUUAAAUUUUCAAGGUGAACUUUCUCUAACUCUUCUCAAGAAGCCUUCUUACGUCUUCUCAUGUGAUUUUGAAAAUUAAGGAGAGCACCUGUUUACAUGGGUUAAGACGGACAAACUUAGAUAAUUUUCUUUCUUCCAAUAUUAUUCUUUGGUUAAUAUUAAUAUUUAAAGAGAUUUUGAAACAUAUUUGGAUAAUCCUCACUUUUAAAAUAUUAUUCGUUAAUUAAAAAUUAAUAUUUAGGAAACUUGACAAAGAGUAUUUGAAUACAGUUUAAUUUAAUUUUUAAUGAGAAUUGAUACUUACUUUGCAAUUAUCAAAUUCACAAUUUUUAUUAGCUUUGACAAUUAUAUUUUAAUUACUAAAUUAUUAUUUGUAUUUCUUUAUGUAAUUUGAAGACAACGGUCUUCCCUUUGUGUGGGGUCAUAUGUCACAUGUUAUAAUUAAGGAUAAAAAAUAUCUCAAUUUCGACAGAUAUAUAGGUAACUCAGUUUUAUGGAUAUGUUGGGAGGGAAAUAUUGUUGGAUAUUUUGACAUAAAAUAUUGAUGAGAUGAAAAAAAAAAUGAUCAAAAGUCAUGAAAAAGUAGUUGAGAAAAACUUUUAGAAAUAUAAUAUAUUUUUUAACGUUGUUUUAUUAGAUAAAUUGAUAUAUGUAUAAUAUAAUUUGUGAUAUUAAAUUUAAUUAUCUCAAAUGGGUUAAUAAGAAAUAUGAAUUUUGUAAGUGUACACUCAUUAUUAAACUACAUUAAAGAUUUGAUUUCAUUAAAUCUUAAUAAUUUGUACGUAUUACAUUAUAAUGAUAUUUUAGUAUCAAAAUGAUGAUCGAUGUUGUUUAAUGGAGUUGUUAGAGGAAAGAUUCUCAUCUUAUUGGAGGCAAUAUUGAUACCUACUCACUAAAUCUUGAUAGUAAUGAUUAAAAUCUGGGAUUUUUGGCUCACUCUAAAAUAUUUUCAAGCCUUGUAUGAUUUUUUGGACUUAUUAAAUGUAUCAAAGAAUUUUUAUUUUGAUUAAAAAGCCUCCUCCAAGCUUAUGAAUUAAAUAGGUUUUUCAAGAUAUCCACAUUUUACCAUGUUUUUUACACUCAAAAUGUUUUUAUAAAUCUAUUUUAGCUUGUGGGUUUUUAACUACUUUUUGUAUUUUUUUUUCUAUAUUUAUACUUCUUAAGUAAGGCUUUAGGCUUUGAUUUCACUCAAAAAUCAUUUUCAAAGCUUGAGAAUUAAGUGCAUCUUUCCUUGUUUACUAUAUUGACCUAAAUCUGGCGUUAUGAAAUAUUCUUCAAAAUCUAGGAUUAUUGAUGCAUGAUUGAGCUUCAUAAGUAUUUUUCAUGUAAUCUAGACACUUUAAAUAUGCUAUUUAUUUUUUGGUUUGAUUUUAUCUCAUGUCUAGGCUUGUUAAAUAAAUUCUUAUUUGAAUGAUGUAUUGUUCUACCUUGUUUCUAAGCAAUAAUAUAUUUGGUUAAAUCUGAGAUAAUUUGUGCAUGUUUAAGAACUUUAGGCUUUGGGGUUGUAUUACAAACACUUUGAGCAUGUUUACAAUGUUUUAUUUGAUUUUAUUUCAUCUCUAAUUAUUUUAUUUGGAUUUAUUUUGUAAGCACCCAUGCUCUAUCUUGUUACUUUAUAUCUUGUAUAAAUGUGCUAUUCCAAUCCCUUUGUGCAUGCUUUUGACCUUCUUUGAUUAUUGAUUUAUAUUAUAGGAAUCUUGUACAUGUUAGAUCAGCUCACCUUUGUAUCAUAUUUCCCUUUUAUCUAUUUUAUUUGGAUUUAUUUUGAGAUUGCAUACUUGCUACCAAUUUUGAAUCCUAUGCAUGUUUAGUGCAUCUUAACUUACUUUACUUCUAGUUUAGCCAUAUUUACUUCUUGAUUUUAGUUGUAUAUAUGUUUUAUAUGUUUGGUAGCCAUAUGUCAUAUCAUGCUUUGUGAAUUAAAUCUUGCUCUCUUAUGUAAGCGCAUUACACUGUUUUUGACAUUAUUGAAGUAUGCUUCCUUCCUUCUAUGAUUAUUUGUUCUUUGAUAUACAUGUCAUGCUCUUAAGUGCUUUUGUUUUUUUAUCACCAUUGCCUUGUGUAUAUUCUUAUUUUUGUCUCCUGAUAUCCAUUGGUCUAUCAUUCAAUUGCCUUAACUCCCUCCACUUGUUUAGUAAAGAUCUCUUUAGGGUUGAAAUGAGUGUUAUCCUACGGUACAUUCCCAAUAAGUAACUUUAUCUUUGGACGUGAACUCGAUUUUCAUAGAUAUGUUUUUCCAUUCAAAAGAGUUACUCUUAGGGUUUUACUUCUUAUUUUAUUUUUAUUUUUAAAAAUAAACAAAAAUAAGCGGCAACUCUAACUUUUUCAAAAAUCAAAUUUUCACAAUAAAAAAUGGGUUUCACUGUCUAAUGAGAACGCACAUGAAAAAUGUAGAUUCACACCAGUUUCGACUGUAAACAAGUCAUUUACUUGCAAGGAACCUAUGACUUGAAUCUUCUGUGUAACUCCUAAUGCACCCAAGUCACGUACAAGGCAAGAGAUCUAGGCUAGAAUGCUUACAAGUAUAAUGCAUAAAAUUAUGAUAGAUAAAAGUGAAUAGAUCUAGAAAAUUUUAUUUAUAAAUAAUAAAUAACCAAAUUCAAAAGAUUUGGUUCUCCUUAGAAUUGAUAAAGUUCAUCUUUAGAAACUCCCUUAGAUGUCUCAUCACUUCAUCAAUAAAUUACUCCGCCUUUUAGGUUGAUAGGAGUGUUGAUUGAUAUGAGAUUGUUCCAUUGUAUUUGGAAUUCUCAUCACGAUAAUUCCAUAAAUUUGUUUGGAUUGCUCUUUUUUCUUGAUCUAUGUUGUUAGAAUUAAAGGUCAUUCUUUAGCAAGAUUGUCUAUCCAUUUGAAUAAAUUAUUUUCAUCGAAAAUUCUGGCAUAGAUGUAUUGCAAAUAGUCAUUUUACUAGAAAGGUUAAAGUGAGCCAAAAAUUUUGUACUAAUUUCUCGAAUGAUUCAGGAAAGAGAAACCACAACUUUUAAACAAGAAAAAGAGAUAAAUAAAGAAGAUUCCUACUUUUGAAAUUAAACCUAUGAAACGAUGAAAAGGGAAUAAGAAGACAUUAUACAUCCAUGAGAAAUUGCAACAUUAGUGAAACAUCUUUAUUAAUUGUUAUUGUUAUGGAUUCAUUUAGUGCAAACACUUAUCAAUUACCCUGUAAUGACUAGGUAUUUUAGGUUGCGUUGGAAUUUCAAGUUUUAAAAUUCCUCAAUUUGGCGUGGUUCAAAAGUAAAAAAAUAAAAUAAAAUAAAAAUAAAAUAAAAGGUAAUUGGAGAAUACGUGUCAAUUUGGAUCGGCGGAAUUCAAAAGAUUUUAUUGAUCAAUCAAGCGAGUUGAAUUUUGUAUCACGUCAAUCUUUAAUAGGAAAUUUAUUAGGAUCAUAGAAAUUGAAAAUUUUCGGCAACAAUAAACGAAAUAAAUAAAUAAAUAAAUAAAAUAAUUAAACUAAUUAAUUAAAAAUUAAAUUAAAUUAAUUAAUAAUAAAUUAUAGAAUAGUUAAAUAUUUGUGUUGGUGUGUGAUAAUUUAUUUUGAGUGUUGUAAAUAAAUAAAAAAUACAAAAUGAAAAAUUAAUUAAGGAAAUGAAAUUGAAUUUAAAAAACAAAACAAAACAAAACAAAAGAAUAAAAAAGAAGUAAAUGAAUAAACAAAUAAGGAUUUGGGGUCUUGGGGCAACCGACCACUUUAAGUGGCUUAGGUUAAAAAGAAAAAGAAAAGAAAAGGAAGAAAGGAAGGAGAAAGAGAAAAAAGAGGUUGAGUGGCAGUGAGUUGCGGACUACAAGGGAGAAAGCGCUGUCAUUCUUUGUUUAAUGAUUUCGAUGGCCAAACGAGCUCCAUUUCGUGUGGUAUCAAAGCCAAGGUUGCAAUAAUACCUUGGGGUCAGUGUGUGUUUGUGUGUAUUGUUAUGUUUAUGAUUUGCUAUAUGUAAUUAGUUAAUGAGCUGAUUAUUAAUUUAUUUAUUUAAUUAUUUAUUCUUUGUGUUUGAAAAAUCUUAUUAUGGUGCUUGUUGAUAAUAGUAAGAAAUGUUAUGGUGUUAAUUAUGUUGAAUUAUGUAUUAUGAUUGUAUAAAAAUGGAAGUUUUUAAUAAGUAUUGAAGUUGCUAAAUUGUUAUAUGUGAAUUUAUUUUGCUCACCUUGAAAGUGUGGUUGGAUUAGGGCUUGUUAGGAUUUGAAAUGGCGGGAAGGUCAAGAAGAGGAAGGACUGAAAGAGAUGAGGAGCUAGAGUUAGUAAGGGAGGAGCUCUGGGAAGUUAGAAGGGAACUACAAGAGAUUGCUCAAUUAAUGAGAGGCCAACGUUCCAGGAGGUCAAGGGGUUCCCAAGGGUUGGAGGAUUUUGACCACUUCUAGAGGAGGGGCCACUCUGCUAGUCCAGUAAUGAGCCAGAUGGAGGCAAUGAAGAGAUUUAUGGUAAUGCAACCUCUAUCUUUUAAUGGAGAACCAAAUGUUGAAGUAGCAGAGCACUGGUUGAGUAGCAGAGCACUGGUUGAGUAGCAGAGCACUGGUUGAGUAGCAGAGCACUGGUUGAGGCGCAUGAAGAGAAUAUUGGUGGGGUUGGAUAUACCCGAGGAGAGGAAGGUUAGCCUGGUAGCAGACAUGCUAGUAGAUAAAGCAAAUUUUUGGUGGGAAUCAAUGAAGAGGGUGUAUGACAUUGAUGUGAUGACUUGGAAGGAAUUUGAAAGGCUAUUUUUGGAUAUAUAUUUUGGAGAGGUGGCUAAGCAUGCCAAGAGGAUGGAAUUUGAGCACCUCAUCCAUAGAACUAUGUUAGUACUAGAGUAUGAAUCUCGUUUUUUGGAGUUGUCUAGAUUUGCCAUGGGGAUGAUUAGUGAGAAAGGAGAGAAGUCUAAGAGAUUCCAACAAGGGUUAAGGCCUACUAUUAGAAAUAGAUUGGUCCCACUAGCUAUAAAGGACUAUUCUAAGUUGGUUAAGAGAUCUUUAUUAGUGGAGCAAGACAUAGAGGACACAAAUCAAAUUUGAGAACAAAGAGGAGAUAGAAAAGGGAAACAAAAAGUGGGGGAAAGUUCCCAAAGGAGGUCCCAGCAUCAACAACAGAGGCAACGAGGCCAGCAAUAUGAGGGACAUUCUUCGUUCUAUGUUGGAGGUGAGCAAGGUGCUCAGAGGGCGGCUACUGCUAGAGUAUGUUAUGGUUGUGGAGCAGGAAAUCAUUUAUUGAGGGCUUGUCCCUUAAGGGACGCACCGUAUGCUCGAUUUCAGCUUCAAGGAGGCCCUCAACAGCAGCCAACAUUGCCUUUCCAAUCCCCUCAAUUUCACCUACCCUACUACCAAAUGUCGCAGUUACCCCCAACAGUGCAAGGAGCCUGGACAACCACUAUGAGUAGUCAGACUCGAUCUUCUCAAGGGUCGAGUGCUAGAGGCAGGGGGAGUGAUUACUACCAAAAAGUGCUAUUUUGUAGACCUAAUUAUAAUGGUUUUAAGCACCUUUGAGUAGUAAUCAUAUUCAUUUAACCCAAUUAAUUCAUUAAGGUCCUUAGUAAUUGGUUUUAACCAUUUUGUGGCAAGUUUACAUGUUUUUAUCAGCUUCUGAAUCGAUUCAAGCAUGCCAAUUGAUGGAGGUGCUAUUUGGGCGAGUUAAUAAAGGAUUUUGGACGAUUACAGGUUUGAAUUUCAAGUGGAAACACGAGCACAAGCAAUGGAGAAGAGGAAAACAGAGUGAAGAAAACAGCUUCAGUCUUCUUUCGCACUUUUGAAGCACUUCCUGAAGUCCAUUUUUUGCAUUCUAUAUACCAUUUGAAAUCUUAGGAAGUCAAGAAUCCAACGCUUCAAACCGUGUAUGAUUUGGAGCUGAAAUGAGGAAAAUAUGGCCUUCGGAAGACAACUGCAUCAUGUCAAAUGACCAAUUUCGCAAGGAGAUUUUCUUCAUGGUGCGAAAUUUGGCCACUUCACACCAUGAAGAACCCCCUUGCGAAAUUUCGCAAGGUGGAUUUAGGCACCUUGCGAAAUACCUCUGAAAUCCCCUAUUUUGAGACGGUGUUGAUGAUAUUCCACUGCUGGUUCUCCAAGAUAUUUUGCUUGAUUUUUAGCUUUGUAAAUACCUAUUUUACCCUUGUAAUCAACCAAUGAAUAGGUUGUUUUUGUAAUAGCUCUUGUAAUUUAGCUUGUUAUUGUCUUUAAAUAGAGGUGAAGAGCCUCAGAUGAAAAGAAUCUUGUAACCUGUAACUUUAUAAGUUAUAAGAGCACUUUUGUUCAUACGUUUCUUUUCUCUUUUCUUUCUCAUUUUCUUAGUAGCCAAACAUCCUUGGAGGAUGAAAUCCCCAAGGAUGAGAGGUUAAAACCUUUUAGUUUCUUGAAGUAAUGGAUGCCAUGCGAAGCUCCCGUGUCAGGAUGGAGAUUUCCAAGCCAUGAAUGUAAGUAGCUGAGCGUCAUAAAUGUUUUCAUUCAAAGUAAGGCUUUUAAUCCCUCUAACUUGCUUUGAAUGGCCAAUACUUGAUAACCUUUUGGUCUCAGUGGAUUCUUAUUGUUAGAUCCACUGACGUUCAUUAGUUAUCUCCUACGAGCCAUUGUAUUGCAAGUCGAGGAGAUGACCUAUAUCAUUAAAAGGGCAUUUAUGAGGUUCAGCUACCCUUUUUGUAAGUUUUCAAGGACUAAAACUCAGUUGUUAAACUCAUACCGGUUCGGGAAGUAAGCACCACCUUAGUUGCUUCCCCAACUCGAGGUGAAAAGUCCCAAAAUCUCCAUUUUUACACAGUGAGUUAAGCAUGGCUAUCCAAAGCUUUGAGAAACUUCUUUUUCCAUCUUUUAACCUAUUUUCAUGUUAGUUUAGUUUACAACACCUUUAUCUUUUUAUGUUUUCAUCUUAACCUAAUUUUUAUUAAGAAAAGUUCACUCCAUCCUCCGAACUUCACCAGUUAAAGUAAAAACCCUUCCCAGUGUUCGAUCCUAGAGCCACUAUGCUAUAGUAGCUUUGCUACUUUACUAUAAGGACCUUAGGUAUAAAUUUUGUGGUACCCUUACAUGCCAAGCUACCAAGAGUCGGGUCAUCAAAUGGCGCCGUUGCCGGGGAAGGUGCUACUUCACUGUGAAUACAUCAGCCAGAGGUAACUUGUGAGACUUCUCAUGAGUAAGGUGAAUUCUAUCUCAUUUUCCUUUUACUAAUUUUUUUUAUUUUUAUUUUUUAUUUUUCUUUCUUCAUGUGUUAGUAUAUCUUUUAUUUAGUUAAUCUUAAUAAUUUUCUUUUUUCUUUAGAAUUUUAUUUUCUUUUAUUUUCUUUUGUUUUCUUUGUUUUUAAUUCACAAAUUGCUAGUUGUGCAUGCCAUAUUGAAUAUGAGAUAGCAGAGGAAGCCAUGAACUUCAUCAGUUAUGUGGCUGAAUUUUCAAGAGAAUGGGGUGAACCAAAUGCUAGAGAUAUGGGAAGAAUGGCGUCUCAACCUAAAGCUAAGGGUGAGAUGUAUAUUUUGAAUGAUGGCAUGGACAUGAAGGCAAAGAUUGCAGCUAUGGAAAGGAGAUUGGAAGAGCUAGAAAUGAACCAAAUGCAAGAAGUGCAAGCUAUCUCUCAGACACCAUUGCAAGCUAUGCUUUGUGCCAUUUGUCAGUCUUUUGAGCACUUGGUGGAGGAGUGUCCUAUCAUUCCAGUGGCGAGAGACAUGUUUGGUGAUUGCAACACCUAUAAUUCAAGCUGGAGAAACCAUCCAAAUUUUUCUUGGAAACCAAGGCCAUCUCCAUACCAACCCCAAGCCCAAACCCAAGCACCUCAACAAACCUCUUCAGUGGAGCAAGCCAUUGUGAACCUAAGUAAAGUCAUGGGUGACUUUGUGGGUGAACAAAAGGAAAUCAACUCCCAAUUGCACCAAAAGAUUGAGAAUGUUGAGAGUUCUCAAAUUAAGAGGAUGGAUGAAGUGCAAAAUGAUCUAUCUCAGAAGAUAGAUAAUCUCCAAGAUUCAAUCUCAAGGUUUGCCAACCUCAACACAAUGCAAGAGAAAGAAAACUCUUCUUCUCAACCUCAUCAAAAUCAAAAGGGUAUCCAUGAAAUGGAGGCUAAGGAGGGAGAUAAAGAGGUUGAUCUGCCCACAUGCAAGCUAGAGCACAAGGAAGAAAGUGAAACAGAGAAAGAAAAGAGGGAGAAAAUCAAAGGAAAGAAAAAUGGGAAAAGUACAGAGGAAGAUGGCUAUGAUGUUAAUGUACAAGGAGCACCACAAAGGAUAGUCAUCAAGGAAGAAAUGAUGAAGAAUCACAUCCCUCCACCUUUCCCCCAAGCUUUGUAUGGCACCAUCAUACAAAGCAAGUCUCAAGUGAGGGAUGCAAACUUCAUAUGGGAUCCGGGCAAGCUAAACCAAGGAUCAAAUUUUUUGAUGGACUUAGUCUUUUUAAAGACUAGCUAGUCCAUAUCUUUUUUGUUUUAUUACUAGUUUUGAUUUUGAUUUUUUAUGUUUUUAAUGGAGCUUUGAUGUCCAAUAGCAGGUACGAAAGCUCACAAGCUCACAAAUGUGGAAAGAAAGGUGAAAUAGGGGAGAAAUAUACCUAAGUCCAAGCUUAAAAGCCUAUUUCGCAAGGUGAAUUUCACCUUGCGAAAUGCACAUUUUGGCAAGAUGCAAAAUGCACAUUUUGGCAAGAUGCAAAAUGCAACCUCUUGGGAUUGCACUUUCGCAAGGAGUAACCAGUGCGAAAAUUUUCGCAAGUCAUUUUUCACCUUGCGAAAUUGUUUUCAAAGCAAAUAUCAAAAUGCAACCUCUCGAGAUUGGUUUUUAAGGGGAGUAGCCAGUGCGAAAAUUUCGCAAGGUGAAUUUUCACCUUGCGAAAUUUCCAGCACUCCGCCAUGCUCUCUCAGAUCCACCAUCACCUGGGCAUAUCACUUCCUCCACCUCAGGAGCCACAUCCAUGAUUGGAUAUUUCUAUCUCCAUUUUGUAUAUGUUUUUUUUGUAUAUGUACAUGUUUUAUAUUCUGAGAUUGUAUGUACCUCAUGCUUAUAUCUUGUACUCAACUCUCUCAGUUUAUAUAAGCAUCAUUUUUUGUAUCUUAUUUCCUCUCUCACGUUUCUUAUGGUUUUUGAAUCAUAUGGAUGCACUCACACGCCUUGAAUACCACAUCACCAUAAGGUAUAUCAUUCCUUCCUCGUCUUUUUCGAUAGAAACAUUGGGGACAAUGUUCAUCUCGGUUGGGGGGAGAGUUGAGGAAGUAAGUAUUUCCUAUUUUAGUUAGUUAUUUUGUUGAUUUAGUAGUUUUUGCCCUUUUUCAAAAUUUUUUGUUUCAUUCUCUAUGGUUGUUAAAGAUAAUUUCUCAAAAUAAAAUAGGAUAAGUCGAGUUUUAACUUAAUUACUUAAGUCUUAGAGUUUGUUUUAUGCUUUCAAAGUUGAUAAUCUAUUGAAGCCCUCUUUGAUUUCGAACUUAUUUAUUCCAUUUCAAGCUUUACACACACCGUGCACAUUAGAUCCCGGAUUUAUGAUGUAAAACUUUCUCACCCUCUAAGCUUAGGAAAAUUUUGACUUGGUUUAUUACUUAACCUCUUUUUAAUAGUGUUGGGACACCUCAAAAAGACCAAUGAGUCUUAGAAAAAGAAAAAAAGAAAAAGAAAAAGGAAAAGAGAAAAAGAAAAAGAAAAAGAGAAUAAGCUUCUAUUCUUUCCUUGAAACCUAAGCAUGAUCCGAAGGGGUGGCGAAAGCCUUUAAAACCCGAUGCCCUAAACCUUGAUUGGUUGGGAGUCAUCGAUCCUCUGCUUGCUAUAUAGGUGAAUUGGUUAAGUUUAGUGAGUGAAAAGAAUUGUGAAUAAGAAGGUGCGUUCCUAACCUAUUAAGAGUUGGUUAAUUUUGCCAAUGUUCGAGAAAAGCUUAGGUUGGGGGGAGAGGAUAGUUGUACAUACUAUAUCCGGAAGCUAAUCUCAUUAACACUUAGCUCAUUAUGGAAGAGUUUGAUCCGGAACCUUGAGAGUAGAGAUUCUUUUGAUACUUAAUUGCAUAAUCUUCACUCUUUGUACUUUUUGUUUAAGUUUUAGCUUUGACAACUACUAUUGCAUUUUGAAUCUUCAUAUCUUUAGUUCACCAUGUGAGAUGUGUUUUGAUAUCAGUCAUGCCACUCAAUUAUUUUUUGGAGUGAUUUGCAUGAUCCCUUUUAUGUAUAUUAUUAUAGUUUACUUAGUUUUUAUCUCCUCCAUUGCUAAGGGACUAGCAAUGAGUCGGUUGGGGGGUGUGAUUACUACCAAACAGUGCUAUUUUGUAGACCUAAUUAUAAUGGUUUUAAGCACCUUUGAGUAGUAAUCAUAUUCAUUUAACCCAAUUAAUUCAUUAAGGUCCUUAGUAAUUGGUUUUAACCAUGUUGUGGCAAGUUUACAUGUUUUUAUUAGCUUAUGAAUCGAUUCAAGCAUGCCAAUUGAUGGAGGAGCUAUUUGGGCGAGUUAAGCAAGGAUUUUGGAUGAUUAUAGGCUUGAAUUUCAAGUGGAAACAUAAGCACAAGCAAUGGAGAAGAGGAAAACAGAGUGAAGAAAACAGCUUCAGUCUUAUUUUGCACUUUUGAAGUACUUCCUGAAGUCCACUUUUUGCAUUCUAUAUACCAUUUGAAAGCUUAGGAAGUCAAGAAUCCAACGCUUCAAACCGUGUAUGAUUUGGAGCUGAAAUGAGGAAGAUAUGGCCUUCGGAAGACAACUGCAUCAUGUCAAAUGACCAAUUUUGCAAGGUGAAUUUCACCUUGCGAAAAUUUCGCAAGGAGAUUUUCUUCAUGGUGCGAAAUUUAGCCACUUCGCACCAUGAAGAACCCCCUUGCGAAAUUUCGCAAGGUGGAUUUAGGCACCUUGCGAAAUACCUCUGAAAUCCCCUGUUUUGAGACGGUGUUGAUGAUAUUCCACUACCGGUUCUCCAAGAUAUUUUGCUUGAUUUUUAGCUUUGUAAAUACCUAUUUUACCCUUGUAAUCAACCAAUGAAUAGGUUGUUUUUGUAAUAGCUCUUGUAAUUUAGCUUGUUAUUGUCUUUAAAUAGAGGUGAAGAGCCUCAGAUGAAAAGAAUCUUGUAACCUGUAACUUUAUAAGUUAUAAGAGCACUUUUGUUCAUAUGUUUCUUUUCUCUUUUCUUUCUCAUUUUCUUAGUAGCCAAACAUCCUUGGAGGAUGAAAUCCCCAAGGAUGAGAGGCUAAAACCUUUUAGUUUCUUGAAGUAAUGGAUGCCAUGUGAAGCUCCCGUGUCAGGAUGGAGAUUUCCAAGCCAUGAAUGUAAGUAGCUGAGCGUCAUAAAUGUUUUCAUUCAAAGUAAAGCUUUUAAUCCCUCUGACUUGCUUUGAAUGGCCAAUACUUGAUAACCUUUUGGUCUCAGUGGAUUCUUAUUGUUAGAUCCACUGACGUUCAUUAGUUAUCUCCUACGAGCCAUUGUAUUGCAAGUCGAGGAGAUGACCUAUAUCAUUAAAAGGGCAUUUAUGAGGUUCAGCUACCCUUUUUGUAAGUUUUCAAGGACUAAAACUCAGUUGUUAAACUCAUACCGGUUCGGGAAGUAAGCAUCACCUUAGUUGCUUCCCCAACUCGAGGUGAAAAGUCCCAAAAUCUCCAUUUUUACACAGUGAGUUAAGCAUGGCUACCCAAAGCUUUGAGAAACUUCUUUUUCCAUCUUUUAACCUAUUUUCAUGUUAGUUUAGUUUACAACACCUUUAUCUUUUUAUGUUUUCAUCUUAACCUAAUUUUUAUUAAGAAAAGUUCACUCCAUCCUCCGAACUUCACCAGUUAAAGUAAAAACCCUUCCCAGUGUUCGAUCCUAGAGCCACUAUGCUAUAGUAGCUUUGCUACUUUAGUGUAAGGACCUUAGGUAUAAAUUUUGUUGAUACCCUUACAUGCCAAGCUACCAAGAGUCGAGUCAUCAGGGAGGCAGGUGAUAGGUAGAGUUUUUGCCUUGACCCCAAUAGAGGCAGAGGAUGACGCUAUGAUUUUGGUCUAUAAUACUUGGGUGGGUGUUUUGUUUGAUAUUAGUGCAACUCAUUCUUUCAUUUCUGCAUCUUAUGCUAAUGCAUUGGGGUUGAAAACAGAAAUGGUAGAAAAUCUAUAACUUAUCGAAUCCCCUAUGGGUACGAAUUCUAGAGUUGAUAGAAUAUGCAAGGGUUGCAUUAUUACCUUGGCAAAUAAGGUGGAUUUGAGGAUUUUGGAUAUGACUGGGUAUGAUGUUAUCUUGGGAAUGGAUUGGUUGACAGUAUAUAGAGUGCUUAUUGAUUGUCAUCACCGUAGGAUAAUAUUUUGUCUGUCAGCUUGGAUUAUGAGUAAUCCUUAGGAUCAAACCUUUGAUAUGGCCAUGGGGUCAUGGGCCAAAUUCUAGCGCUCAGAAUUUGGGUCGUGACAUACCCAUUGGGGAAAUUUUCUAUGGGAACCAAGGACGUGGUCUGGGCCACAAGAAAAGAGAGCAUUGGGCAGUGAAUUCUGUCUCCUUGAACAGACUUGGAAUGACUGAGUUUCUUGAUUGAUGAUGCAGAAAUCCAAAUUCUGAUCAGAUCACUACUGCGCUUAUAAUGAAGAAUUUUCUCUGGAGGGGAUCCAUUUUGUGAAGCAAAUGUAAAAGCAAAUAACACAUUUAUCACCAAACACACUUAUAAGCAUCAGUAGCAUAUUCCAUAUUCAACCAUAAAAAAGUACAGAAGUAACAAGAAUCACUAGUGCAUGCAACAUGCAACGUGUUCUGUAAUGGAGGAAUACAGAACCCUCCUCUCAAGUCAUCUCCACAUAUAUGGUUUAUAUAGGUGUAGGACCUAGAAGAAUGAAAGACACAAGCUUGGUGCCCAGCCCAUCAGACUUUGGUAUCAGUUGUAGUGCGAUGAUGAUAGAGCAUACAUGCAGAGAGGGCAAAGUAGCCUAUCACAUGUCCAGCGAUAGCUGCAAGGAAAACUCCAACAUUGAAGGUGACGACCGAGAGCACCACCAAGUAGAAAAGGCACUUGCGCAGGCCAUGCCUCAUGGCGUAGAGAAGCAGGGUCAUAGGGGCCAUCUGUUUGUUGGCAGGCAUGGAACACAUUCCACAAAUCGGAGUAAGGAGGGCAAGCACAAAGACCAGAAGUAGAGCCAAGUAGUAAUGCAAGAGGAUGUAAUUACCAGGCCAUCCAGGGAACAGGACCAUCACAUUGGUCCCGACCCAGAAGCUUGUGUGUGCCACUGCCUUCUCGGUGGGCAGCACUGGCAUGGGACCGCCAGAGGAAGCCAUUUCUGGGAAGGAAAAUCUUCGACAAAACUCUGGAAAUUUGGUAAUGGUGAUGCAGUGAUGAGGUUUAUAAAUAGAAGAGAAACUCAAAAUCCAAAAGAAAAGCAAAGUGUUGGCCAUGGUGAGGAGUGACUUGGAUUUGAGUGUAUCACCAUUCAUCUCUGUUGGCAGAACUAAAUUACGCCUCUUUCUUUAUAUUCCAGGGCAUAUUCCUCAAAAUUUCCUUAAGUCUAUUUUAGCAUUCAAUUCACUAUAUUCCUCUAUGCUAUUAGAUUCCCAAGCCUAAAUCAGUUUUGUUGCACUUCACUUGGAAUGCAUCGACUACUCGAUCAGCCCGUGGGAGUUGAAGGGAGCAAUGCCCUCGGGAGAAACAUUUUUUAUGAAAUGAAUGACGAGUUUGCCCCAUUAUAUAUAACUGUUGUUAUUCCUUUUGACCAGUAAACUGUCAAGUGUUGGUGUAUUCCAUUAAUGUAAAAAUCACAUUGAUAGUUAACAACAUUAAAAAUCUUGUAUUCCUUUUUAUUUUCUAUUCAUAUAUGUGCAUGAUUUGGUUAAUAUAUCAAAAAGAAAAAUCUUGUUAAAUGCAGAAAAUUAGGUAAUCUCAAAGAAUAGAACAUAUAUGCAGCUCUGCUUUAUGCUUUGGCCAGCUUAAGAGACUUCCUAGCUUCCACCUUUUAAUGGUAAAGAUGUGAGAGAUGCCCCCCUCUCCUUUUUCCAUUUUAAACAGUUUUAGUUCCUUCCACGACUUUACAUGUGAAAAUAGCUUAUUUUACCUCUUGUCUUUCACUUAGGUUUGGACUCUUAAGUCAUUAUUCCCUUCUAAUCCUAUUUUUGCACAUCUUCUGCGCUCCUAUUAUGCCCAAUGUGUCAUUAUUUCAUUGUCACAACCAACCUCGCAUUAAUUAAGACCUCUUAUAGGAUGGUUAAUUUUGAUCUUUGGUAGAGAAAAUUGACUAUAAUUUAAUACUCUUUAAUUAAGAGUUAUCUUUGUGUUCUUGACCUAUUCCAAUUUUGGGAAGCGUGUGACAUUGUAUCUUAUACAACUUUUGUUUGGAGCACAUUCGGAAGCCGAUGUGGCAAUGCGGUAGACAAUGCUGCAACAGUGUAGAGGUAUAAAGGGGUAAAAUUAUAGGAGAUCUGUUGAAGUGUAAGCAUACAAAAGGGAGCCAGGACAAUUUGGAAGUUAUUGGUCUUAGAUAAUUUACGUAUUUUAUCUCAAAAAGGGAAUAUGAAUUAGGAGUUCGUUUCAAGGGAGAUUGACCCACCAACAUGCAUGGAUGAUACAAAAUCAACCACUAGGAAAUUUAUAAAUAUGCAGUUGUAGGCAUUCAAAGGGGAGUCGUCCAUUCACCAAUCAAACUGUUCAUAUUAAUUUCACACUUACAGUUUUUCAAAGGGAAAUUUAACAGUCCUUAUGUCGUUUGCAGUGCUUCCCAAGAAAAGGAGGGAAAAGAUGAAACUCAGCGCUCAAAGAGCCAUUCGCAUUAGUAAAAGAGAAAAAACAUGAAAGUUGAUGAUAAUCAAUUAAUAUUGAGAAAGGCAGCAACCAAAGUGAGAUUGUCAAUUGCAAUGAAACUAAUUAUAGAUUGUCAAUUUUUUUUGUCUCAUUGUAACAACCAAAGCUAGGUUAACUUAGCCCAAAUAUAUAAUUUUGGGUCCAUAACCUUUUAUAUAUAUAUAUAUAUAUUAUUAGGAUUUCACAUCGAAGGUGAAGAGAGCAUAAUUUCUCCCUACUAAAAACUUUCGAGUAAGAAGUCUACUUCAAAAACAGUUUCCAUUUCUUUAGAAUGUAUUGUUAUUUUAAUUUAGAAAAAAAUUAACUAGGAAAAAUUAAUGGGAAAAUAUUUAAAUAAAUAAACUGCGGUGUUUAGGCAAAUUAAAAACUCAAAAAUCUUAAACCUAGAAUUUGUUUGUGAAGAUUUGAGUAGAAGAAAUCAACCUUAAAUGAAAGUUUGGAUAUGAUGGAAAUACUAAUCUUAUAUAUUUUUAUUAUAGGUUGUAAUGAUGAGAUCAAAUCUCAUGUCCAUGAAUGUUUUGUUGUUUUUUGUUGUUAGGGGUGAAUUCAUAAGGUAUGCAUGUAGAGACUAUAUGAUGAUUGUGGGGAACUUUGAGAAUAGUGCAAUGUGGCUAUAAGAAUUUUUGUGUUGUAUUUUGAGGCUAUAAAAUACUAUGACGUUAUUUGGCAAUAGGCAGAUAUUUAUAAAAGUGGAGGUUUUAUAGGUGUUUAAUUUUGGUGUGGUGUUGUUCUUUGGGGAAUUUGACAUGAGCAUUCAUGCAAUUUUCGUGUAUUAUAAAUUUUCUUUUGGGAGACUAUACCUUUGUUGAAUAGAAAAAUUAAUUUGAAUGAAAGGUCAAAUAAAUUUUAUUCUUUACUGAAGAAAUUUGAGUAAUUUCUUGGGAAAACAAAUUCAAUUAUACCUAAAUAAUUAAAAUUGGAUAUUUUCUUACAUAACUUAAUUCACCUGAUUUUGGCAUGAGGUUAAAUAAUAAUUAAAUAUAUUCUAGAGUAUAAUAAUUUUUAGAACUUUAGUCUAAAGAAUAUUCUUAAACUUUAUUUUUUACAAGAAUGAAUUGGCAUCAUUAAGAAUGUUGAACUAAAAAUUUCAAUUGCAUCUACUACAAAAUGGAAUAACAUAAUCCCUAAAAAGUUAGAUAUGUUUCACUGUAUGAAAAAAAAAAUAACUACAAUAUUUAUAAGUAAAAAAGGAAUUGUUUUUUUCCCAUGAUUUACAAGCAAAACAAAAGUGUCACUAUUCCCUAAAAUCAUUCUAGCUUUCUUCCCAAUGUUGAAAUCCUAAAAAAUUAGAUAUCUUUCAAUAUAUAAACAAAAGCAACUAUAAUUUUUAUAAGUAAAAAGGCAAAUGGUUUUUUUUCCCCUAAUAUACAAGCAAAACAAAAGUGUCACUAUUCCCAAAGUCAUGUUCAACUGAGUAAUUAACAAUUUCUUACUAAGCCUUUUGCUUGACUAGUUUUUUUAUUUAUUUAUUAGAACCUUUAGUUUUCUUUUGUAGAGUGCUUAACCUUCUCUAUGUUGAGAAAGGAGGAAACCAAGACAACAAUGUUCUAAUUGAAUUCAAUCUCUAAGGUGGGGCUAGGAUUGUUGUAUGUUAUUCAAUGCUUUUUCAAUAUUCUUUAUACACCUAAGUUAUAACCAAUAAAAAAUAAAAUGCCACUUAUUUCUUGUCAUAUUUUAGUUGGUAUGAGUGCAUAUACAUGAUAGAUAAAUUUGUAGAUAUAUAUAGAGAGAGAGAGACAGAGAUAGAGAGACAAAGAGAACAAAGAAGAAAAGAAACACAAAUACUAGCUAGUUCAAAAUUAAGGAUACACCCUUAAUUUCCAUAUUACAAUUCUAAUCUCAAAUGUACUCAAAGGAAGACUAUUCAUUUUAUAUUCUUUUAUUAGUUUUGUACUGCAAAAUAAGAGGCCAAUAAGGACAGGGAUAGGGAAGGAAAUUAGUAUUAAUUAUUAAUCCUAAUGCCAAAGAUGGGCUUUUCAAAUUCAUUCUGGCAAAAGUUUUUUUUUUUUUUUCUUUAUAUACAUAUUAUUUAUAGAAAGGAAUGGGGAAGAAAAAAAGGAGAUGUUCCUUCUUGGUGUAUGAGUUGUUGUGGUUAUGGAUUGUAGUUGCUGCAAUACAAUCUCAUAUUGAUCUUGAUAUAUUUUUCUUAUUUUUCAUUCUAUGAUGGUUUCAACAAGGAUUUCAUCAAGUCAAAAAAGGAAACGAGCUCCCACACACAAUAUUGCAUUACAAGGGUUAACGCUAGGGAAGAAGGUAAAAGUUGCAUUUAAUGAAUACAAUCAAUUGGUUAAAUAGAAAAAAGGAAAACGCUUACCAAGUUACAUAUAGACCCUUGUACGUAACCAACAUAAUGUACCUUUCCAAGCUAGUGUUUGGAAAAAUGUUUCCGAUGAUGCAAAAAAGAAAGUAUAGGCCUUUGUUUUGGUAUGUUGUAUUUCUCACUAUAUGAUAUUGUUAGGAUUAAGCCCCUAAAAGUAAGACAUGAUGUAACAAAGUUAGACUUAACAAAGUCGCUUAAGCCCAAUAGGAAGCCUAUAAAUACCCCUUUAAGGGUUAGGGUUUCUAAGUCUUAUCAUUUUCCCUUUCAGUCUAGAGAGAGAAUUCUAGUCUCCACCCUUGAUAUCUUCACCAUCUUAGUGCCUAGUUAUAAGGAAGAGUCAUCGGGCGGAAGAUCAUGAUGUUUACAAGAUUCAUUAUGACUUUGGAGUUAUUUACAUUGAUUAGAAUUGAUCUAGGAACAUCUAGAUCAAAGGUAUGUGACUUUAUUCUCUAGAUCUAUGUUUUCUAUGGUAUUCAUAUUGUGUUUGAAUACUUAUUUAUUCGUUGUGAUAGAUUUAAAGAGCUUAAGAUAGAUUUGCAUGCACCCUACACAAUCCAGGGCAUGGGAACGGAGUAAUCUAGGGUUCCCAACAAAUAUGUCAUUUCAUUGUUAUCCUAUUUUGUGACUAACAUUUGAAAUCAUUUGUAGGAUGAAAGCAAAAUACUAUGACUCUUGGCAUAUGGAUGCAGAAAGGUUGAUGCACAAACCACCAUUUGUCUUUGAUGUUGAUUGGAAGUGGCUUAUCCAUUUUUAGAGCUCAAAAAAGGCACAAGUAAUUAAAAUGUUUGUAUAAUACAAUGUUAAAUUGAAUGCCAAUAUAUUAUGUAAUGUAUUUGUUUUAAAUGCAGGCCAUCUCUACAAGGAACAAGGAAAGUAGAGCUAAACAGAAAAUCAAUCAUACCUCAAGAUCCAAGAGUUUUGCAUAACUUCGCUAUGAACAUGUUAGCAAUUUUUUUUAAUAAUAUGUUGUGUUCAUUAUGACAAGUUUAUUAUAAUGUAAUAAUUGAGGAUGAUAGGGCCAGUUGAGGGAAGAUGUCAUACAACCUAAUUGGAUAGAGAUGUUUAAGCUUAUGCAUGCACAUAAGAAUGGAACACCAGUUGAUGAAGUGUUUCAUGAAAUUAUGGUGAAUAAUUGGUUAUCUUCUAAUAAUUCUUAUGGAAUGAAAAUUUAUGGUACAUUUUCAUUAUACGUUUUAACAAUUAAUCUUCCAUAAUAUUCAUUGUAGGCUAGGUUUGAUGAGCUUUUAGCAGCUCAAAUGUAAUCACACACCAAGGAGUCUUCAACAUCCACCCCAUCCUCAAUUGUGUCAUCCACUCCACUAUUGGUGGAUGACAUAUAUACAUAGGUAAUGGGUCGAGAGAGACAUGGUCGUGGACAUGGUCUGGGGUUUGGUCCAACUCCUACAUCAAUUUUUGAAGCCACAAGUAGAAGAGAGACAAAUGUUGCCCUUGCAUCAAAGCUUAAGGAUACAUAGGAAGAAUUAAUGCAUUUCAAACAAAUGCAUCGAGAACAUGAAGAAAGUAUGCAAACAAGAAUUCAAUAGCAAUAAGAACAAAUGGAGUUGAUGCAACAACACAUACAACAAAUGCAACAAACGAUAUAGAAAAGGUUGCAAUAGGCAACGUAGCUAACAAGGCCCCUCUUCCAAUUUCAACACGUUUUUUUUUCUUUUUUGGCUUUUCUAGUUUGGGAUAAAGGAGAUUUCAAUGUCAUUUUUUAUUCUGUAUGCAAUGGUUUAAGCUUUGACAUAAAACUUUUUUGUUCAUGAUUGAUGUUUUUGUAGAAAUGAAUCUUCCUACUCAUCAAUUUGAAUGCUUUGCCAAUUAAAGUACUACACACUUAUAAAGAAAGGUUCUUUUGGCUUUAGGCAUCUAUUUAGAUUUCUUAAUUGCUAUCUUGUUUUUUGUUGGUGUUUAAAUAUAAAGGUUUUUUGUAUACAUUUUUUAUGUUUAUAUUGGUUUUUUGUAUGCUUUUCUAAUUCUAUAUAAAUGAGUUUAAAUUUAUGCAAGAAUUGAAUCAUUUAAUCAUAUAAAUCAUAAAUGGUGGCAUCAAUGGACUGGCCAAUAGUGAUUACGUAUAGAGGCUUGGUUUCUGCACAUCGAUUAAAAAUUAUCGAGGACCUCUUCAAAUAUAUAGAAGAUCAAAAGAGAGCCAUAGUUCAUGCAGGAAUGAUAAGGUAAGAAUCAAAAGUAUCCUAUUCAGCUAGUGCUCUAUUUAUAGUUUUCUUAUUUCCUGGUCUUGUUUUUUCCUUAAAUCUUUUCAAGGAACUCUUACUUGCUUUCAAGAGUUCAACUAGCCUCAAACCUUUGAGGAUUAUCUUCUUCAAGUAUAUAUUUGCCUUUGGAUUGUGGUACUACUAAUCAUUUUACAUAUUACUAAAGCCAAUUGUUGUUGUUCGAGUUACGCAUUUAAGCACCAUUGGUUAUAUACAUUGCUUAUUUUGCGCAAAAGAAACAUCACCAAAAGGAAAGGUAAUUUUGUGCCAUAAGCUCUACCAUAGAUCUUCUGCUAUUUUCUUUUCAAAUCAUACUUGGCAUAAUUGAGAAAAUUGUAGAGGUUUUCUAUACAAUAUUUUCUUUUCUUUUUUUCUUUCAAUUCAAGAAACAAGGCAAAUCAUGUGUUGCACUUGUAUGAUAGUGACAGCAAUGUGAAACACUUGAUAGACUUGAAGAAAUUCAAAGAUGAUGAUAAGAAAGGGAUUGAUGUACCAUUUUUCAACUUAGAAGACAUCUUGGCUACUAUAGAUAACUUUUCAAAUUUGAAUAAGCUUGGACAAGGGGGCUUUUGACUAGUUUACAAAGUAAUAGUCCUUUAUUUCAACAAUAAUCACAUUUUCAACUUUGUUCUUAAUUUUUGAAUUAUUAGGUCUUAUCUAGCUUCUAUUCUAUUGAGUUGAUUUGCAUACAUCUAUAUUCCUCUGAAGCUUUGCUUUGUACCUUGGUGUCAUUACAAGAAUCUAUUCUGUAUUCAUGCUUUCACAAGACAUCAAGCAAAGUCUCUAACUAUCCUAUUUUGCUUUCCUGAUCAUAUCUUAUCCCUCACACUACUUUACCUUUGGUAUAGUUUUUUGUAUAUGUGCAGGUUAUAAGGUUGGAAGAUAAGUACUACAAAGUGAUGCAAAACAUUCCCUUAGUUUAUUUUUAAUUAAGCAUUAAUGUGUAUUAUAUAAACUCCUUUAUGAGAGUUCGGGUGGGUUUAUGUACUAAUGCUUUGUCACAAAAUUUCCAAAGAGGGAGAUCGUUAAGACAUUAAGUCUUUGUUUUUUUGCUAGCAAUUUUGUUCAUUUUUAUGUUUGGCCAUAGAAGUCUUUUUAGAUAGUGACUUGCUCUCCAUUGAAGAUCAAGGGUUGUUGUUCGUCCAACCAAGAAGUCACAAGUACAUUUAAAGAUGUUUGACAUGUGGCAUAUUAGACUCAUUUGAAGUAUAAAAUGGUUCGGUAUCAUUUUUGGACUUAUAAUGUUUUAAAAGGAUUUUUAAAAGAAGUAGGAAGCGCUCAAGCGAUCAACCCGAUCAAGCAGUAAUGCACGGGCGGAUUGUUCAAGUGGUGUAAGUCUGCUCAAGUGGUUAUGACAGUCCUGUCGAGUUUAUAAACUAAUUUUGGAUGAAUUUCACUCAAAAUCUAUUUUGGAAACUUAAAAUACCAAAACUCUUUAUAGUUUUUGCUUAUAAAUACCUCCCUAAUAACCCCUUGAGGGUUUGAAAUUUAGGCUUAAAGAUAUUAAAUAUUGGAGAUAUAUCAUUUAAUUUUAGAGAGGGACUCCUUGAGAGAAAGUCUAAUAUACCACACCAUUAUCAAUCUUUCAUUCAAGGAUUUGAUCUUUGAAUCGUGGAUUGAAGACUUUAAUCCCUUUAGAGUGGUUGAAGGAUCUACUAGGGAGCAACAAAGAGUUGCUACGUCACGAACGUGAAUCAAGUUGUAGGUAUUGGAGGGUAAGUAUUUAAGGUAAAGUGAUCAGAUAAAUCUGCGUAACUUGAUUUUGAACACUAGAUUUAGGUGGUGUUUGUUUUUUUGACUUUUUGCUAAAAGCAAUUUAGUUUUAGAAUUUAGGUUGUUUGUUUAUCUACUUUUUCAUGACUUAUUAUAAACUUUUUACUAAAUAAAAAAAGCCAAAAUAUGUAGUUUUUUCUAAAUAGAAAAAAUAACAUAUUGAUUUUUUUUACUUUUUAAUACUUAAUAGAAAUAAAAUACUACAAAAACAAACAACCUAAUAUUUAACACUAUUAAGCAUUAAGGUUCUAUUUAGAAUUAAGUAAAAAAACAAACACCACCUUAGAUUAGUAGGUCUUAGACCUCAUGGUUUAACUCCACGGUUUUUGGGGGUUCUCCAUGUAAAAAUCUUGUGUCUCAUUUCAUAUUUUUAUUUUCCUAGUCAUAUUAUGUUUAAUGAUAUUGGUAUCUUAUUGAAUGAUUGGUUAGUUUGUUAAUGAGGUUGUUGCGUUAAUUAUCUUGGGGGUUAUGAUAUUUAUACCUAUAACCAAUUAUUAUUUUCCCUAACUUCUCUAAAGAUAUAUUUUGGAUAUUAAUAACUAUAUUAUUUUAUCCCUAACUAAUCACAUGAUAUUUCUAAAAAGGUAAAAAUCAAUUUCUUUUAUAAGUUUUGAAUAUCGAGGACUUCCCUGAAAUUUAUUAGGUUAAAAGAAUUGGGCAUAAUAUUUUAAAUAUUUUAAAAUCACCUAUUCACCCUCUUUGAGUGUUCCUUAUUGGACUUUUUGUGGUUUUUCAAAAUGCACAAUUUGCAUAUAUAUGUCCGAAAACUAAACAAAUAUAUAUACCAUAACAACGAGGAAUAAGAUAUCUAUGCAUGUCCGAUGAAAUUUUAAAAUAAGAAAUUCAAAGCAAAAAAUGUUGUUUUUGAAUAUUUCUUAAUUCACUUGUAUAAAAUCUAUAUUUUAUAAUAGAUAUUUUGUUGAAUGACCUCCUUUUGGACAAUCUCUUUUAUUUUAGAUAAAAUCAACUCAAGAUUGUGAAAACACCUCAAUAGAGCUAAAAACUUCAUAUCCAACCUUAAAGAGGUAAAAAUCUUGACUAAUAAAAAAUCAUGAUCAUAUUAUACAAAAUCAUCUAUUUUGUACCUAAAAGUUGCACAUAUUUCUUAGCAAAUCAUCAAUUUCAUACAGUAGACCCAAAAAAUCUCAAAUCUAAACUAAAACUAAGCCAUAUAAUAUAAGAGCAAUAACAAAAUCACGAAAGCGAAUAUACUUGAAGCGAUUCUUUUCCAUCACGCCUCUCUCUUUAUACUUGUCUCUCUGUGCCCCUCUUCUACCGUCAACUCUUGCCUUUUGUCUUGUCCAGUUGGAGCAUAAAUAAUAAGGAUUUAUAGGAUUGGUGGGGGAGCAGCAUGAGAUCUAUGGUUAGAGACCAAAAUCGGAGUUAUUUUGGGUUUCGAAAAGGAAUAUGAGAUUUGACAUUUUGGGAAAUUUUGCCUUUAUUGAGGACUGAUAACAAUUGUAUGGACCGAAAUAUGAUUGCUUAGGGCCUCAAACAUAAAUGUGAGAUUGAGGAAGUUAAGAUUGUUUUUUUUUUUCUUGUCACCUCACCAUUUCUUACGUGGCAAUUCAUUUACAUUUAAGAUUUUUUUUUUUUUCAAUGUGUUAAGGGUAUUCUUGGCAUGUGUUGUUCGUAAUAGGAUUGAGAAGUCCUUGAGGUCAAUUUUAUGCUUACUUAUAUAACCUUUGGGCCCAAUUAACAAUAUUUCAUUAACCUCAGCCCAUUAUGAAGGAGACCCUAAAGCACAAUUCUCAAUGACACGAAUUGGGUUGGCUCCGGAUAGAAACUCGCAUCCCAUUACAUCCUUUACCAUCUAAAUGCUUUAUCAUCCCAAUUCCAAUUUUAAAACAAGAGGGGCUUUGAAAGCUAAUUCAUAUAUAAUAGCCCUACGCCACCUCAUUUAAAAUGUUUAAUUAUUAUUAUUAUUUAUAAAAUAAAUAUAAUUUAUAAAUAAUUUAAUUAAAUUUCAUAGAAUUUUAUAUUUUAUUUUAUGACCAAUUAAAAUUACAUUUUUAUUUUGUGUUGAAAAAGGACAAAAUGAAAAAAAAAAACUCAAUUAUAAAACCACAAACUUAUUCGAUUAAGAGUGGAAUGGGGUGGAAUGGGGUUAGGUCUCCAAAAAUACCCACUCAUUGACCAUUCCUAAUUUUAUAUUGGAUUUGUGUAGCAUCUUUUGGACACGUAACCGAAGAUUUUCUUCCUCUCGACCAAAACAUUGAAGUAUUGUUAAUUAAGAAGGCCAGGCCACAAAAAAUAUAAUUGCUAAAUAAAUUCAAAGAUAAUGUAGCAAAUGGGCACUAAAGAUUGAUGCAUAAAAUUUACUUAGCUUGGCUGACUAAUAGAUAAAUUAAGUACUUCGACUUAAUCAUGAGGUGGACAAACAACUGAAUUUCAUCUUGGAGACUUAAUCAUGAGGUGUUAAUGACUCCUCACCACGAACUGAAUAUUGUUAGAUAACUAAACAACAAACCCCUAAAAGUUUGUUACCCUAAUCUUUCCAGUGACGUGUAUUUUAGCAGUCAAACUGUGGUUAAUAAACUUAUUUGGCCCAACUCACCUACAACAUUGGCAUUCUUUGUCAAUGGAAUUUAGUUGAAUAGGAAAACUACCCCUCUACUUCAAAUGGUUUUCCAAGUUUUCCCACCAAACACGAUGGCCAAAUCACCUACCUAGAGGCCAAAGUUUCCCACAUCCACCUAUAAAAACCCAACACCAAGCUAUGGAUUCGCAACUCGAGUUUCAAGUAAAACGCAGCUUCAUUCAAAUCUACAUACGCACCACUCUAAUCUCAUUCAGCAAUGGCCUCUUGCAAUUGCUUCAUCUUAUCUCUCUUCGUUCUACUCUCAUUCUCGAGCAUUGAUGUUAGCCUAGCGGCACGUCGUCUUUUGGACACUACUCCGCCCUCUGCGCCAACGAUACCUGUUAUACCCAGUCUGCCAAAACCAACGUUGCCACCUUUGCCUUCAUCACUCCCAACUCUGCCGACUUUGCCUUCACUCCCAACUCUAUCCAACCCUUCAAUUCCUCCUUUGCCGUCUCUUCCAACUAUGCAACAGCCCACAUUGCCAUCCUUGCCGAAGGCCACACUGCCUCCACUUCCUAGCAUGCCCACCAUGCCCUCUAUCCCGAAGCUCACGUUGCCUCCACUCCCUACAACUUUGCCAACCAUCCCAACUACUAUGCCUUCAAUCCCAUUUCUCUCCCCCCCACCGGCGACCACUAGUCCUUGAGAAUAUUCAUGUACUCUCCUAAGAAGACACGGUGCCACUACAGUUGGCUAUCUCUGAAG
rnacentral:lncRNA from 1 species